GGCGGACGGGUUAGUAACGCGUGGGAAUAUACCCUUUGGUACGGAAUAGCCUCUGGAAACGGAGAGUAAUACCGUAUGAGCCCUUCGGGGGAAAGAUUUAUCGCCAAAGGAUUAGCCCGCGUUAGAUUAGGUAGUUGGUGGGGUAAUGGCCUACCAAGCCUACGAUCUAUAGCUGGUUUUAGAGGAUGAUCAGCAACACUGGGACUGAGACACGGCCCAGACUCCUACGGGAGGCAGCAGUGGGGAAUCUUGGACAAUGGGGGCAACCCUGAUCCAGCCAUGCCGCGUGAGUGAUGAAGGCCUUAGGGUCGUAAAGCUCUUUCGCCUGUGAAGAUAAUGACGGUAGCAGGUAAAGAAACCCCGGCUAACUCCGUGCCAGCAGCCGCGGUAAUACGGAGGGGGUUAGCGUUGUUCGGAAUUACUGGGCGUAAAGCGCACGUAGGCGGACUGGAAAGUUGGGGGUGAAAUCCCGGGGCUCAACCCCGGAACUGCCUCCAAAACUAUCAGUCUAGAGUUCGAGAGAGGUGAGUGGAAUUCCGAGUGUAGAGGUGAAAUUCGUAGAUAUUCGGAGGAACACCAGUGGCGAAGGCGGC
rnacentral:rRNA from 1 species